rnacentral:rRNA from 1 species
UGGGGAAUUUUGGACAAUGGGCGAAAGCCUGAUCCAGCAAUGCCGCGUGUGUGAAGAAGGCCUUCGGGUUGUAAAGCACUUUUGUCCGGAAAGAAAUCCUUGGCUCUAAUACAGUCGGGGGAUGACGGUACCGGAAGAAUAAGCACCGGCUAACUACGUGCCAGCAGCCGCGGUAAUACGUAGGGUGCAAGCGUUAAUCGGAAUUACUGGGCGUAAAGCGUGCGCAGGCGGUUUGCUAAGACCGAUGUGAAAUCCCCGGGCUCAACCUGGGAACUGCAUUGGUGACUGGCAGGCUAGAGUAUGGCAGAGGGGGGUAGAAUUCCACGUGUAGCAGUGAAAUGCGUAGAGAUGUGGAGGAAUACCGAUGGCGAAGGCAGCCCCCUGGGCAAUACUGACGCUCAUGCACGAAAGCGUGGGGAGCAAACAGGAUUAGAUACCCUGGUAGUCCACGCCCUAAACGAUGUCAACUAGUUGUUGGGGAUUCAUUUCCUUAGUAACGUAGCUAACGCGUGAAGUUGACCGCCUGGGGAGUACGGUCGCAAGAUUAAAACUUAAAGGAAUUGACGGGGU